AACGCACCUUGCGCUCCUUGGUAUUCCGAGGAGCAUGCCUGUUUGAGUGUCAUUAAAUUCUCAAGCUUAUUUAGCUUCUAUUAGCUAGGUAGACUUGGAUUAUGGAAGUUGCUGGCCUGUUAAAAGUCAGCUUUUCUGAAAUACAUUAGCAAGAAGAAACUGCUAAUUAUCAUUUGAUAUGAUAAUUUAUCUAUAUCAUUGAUAAUUGUACAUCUUGCUUCUAAUUUUGCGUUUUAUUUGAAACGGCAUUUUGACUAUUUUGACCUCAAAUCAGGUAGGACUACCCGCUGAACUUAA
rnacentral:misc_RNA from 1 species